CAGGCAUACGAUCCUUGUGCUAGCUGUUAGAUAUGCAGCUAUUAAUGGCUAAAGCUAGCAGGAGACUUGUAAGACCCAGGCAGAGGGCUUGAUACUCGACAAGUCAAGCACAAAGAUGUCAAACUUAGCAACUGGCUUUCCACCACAAAACUACAGCAUUUCCUAACAGAUAUCUCUGUAAGUGGAGGCAGGGUUUGUCCCUCAAGAGAUACUUCUGAGUUAGAAAAGAAGUUGGGGAUGUUACUGUUCUAAUCAAUAAUGCUGGCAUACUGCUUGCGAAAAAGUUUUGUGACAUACCAGAUGCAGAUUUUGAAAAGACCUUAAGAGUCAACUUCCUCUCUCAA